GACGAGGGAUCCUAGCGUUGUUCGGAAUCACUGGGCGUAAAGCGUUUGUAGGCGGCUCUAUAAGUCGGGUGUGAAAUCCCAUGGCUCAACCAUGGAAGUGCAUUCGAAACUGCAGAGCUUGAAUAUGGUAGAGGAGAGUAGAAUUCCUGGUGUAGUGGUGAAAUACGUAGAUAUCAGGAGGAAUACCGGUGGCGAAGGCGGCUCUCUGGACCAAUAUUGACGCUGAGAAACGAAAGUGCGGGGAUCAAACAGG
rnacentral:rRNA from 2 species